CGGACGGGUGAGUAACGCGUGAGAAUCUGGCUUCAGGUCUGGGACAACCACUGGAAACGGUGGCUAAUACCGGAUGUGCCGAGAGGUGAAAGGUUAACUGCCUGAAGAUGAGCUCGCGUCUGAUUAGCUAGUUGGUGAGGCAAUGGCUUACCAAGGCGGCGAUCAGUAGCUGGUCUGAGAGGACGAUCAGCCACACUGGGACUGAGACACGGCCCAGACUCCUACGGGAGGCAGCAGUGGGGAAUUUUCCGCAAUGGGCGAAAGCCUGACGGAGCAAUACCGCGUGAGGGAGGAAGGCUCUUGGGUCGUAAACCUCUUUUCUCAGGGAAGAACAAAAUGACGGUACCUGAGGAAUAAGCAUCGGCUAACUCCGUGCCAGCAGCCGCGGUAAUACGGAGGAUGCAAGCGUUAUCCGGAAUGAUUGGGCGUAAAGCGUCCGCAGGUGGCUAUGUAAGUCUGCUGUUAAAGAGUCUAGCUCAACUAGAUAAGAGCAGUGGAAACUACAAGGCUAGAGUACGUUCGGGGCAGAGGGAAUUCCUGGUGUAGCGGUGAAAUGCGUAGAGAUCAGGAAGAACACCGGUGGCGAAGGCGCUCUGCUAGGCCGUAACUGACACUGAGGGACGAAAGCUAGGGGAGCGAAUGGGAUUAGAUACCCCAGUAGUC
rnacentral:rRNA from 1 species